CUAACGGUGAUGUGUUAAUAAAAGCAGAUGUCACGUUACCUACAGACACAGCACCGGCUAACUCCGUGCCAGCAGCCCCGGUAAUACGCAGGGUCCGAGCGUUAAUCGGAAUUACUGGGCGUAAAGCGUGCGCAGGCGGUUUGUUAAGCCAGAUGUGAAAUCCCCGGGCUCAACCUGGGAAUUGCAUUUGGAACUGGCGAACUAGAGUCUUGUAGAGGGGGGUAGAAUUCCAGGUGUAGCGGUGAAAUGCGUAUAUAUCUGGAGGAAUACCGGUGGCGAAGGCGGCCCCCUGGACAAAGACUGACGCUCAGCACGAAAAG
rnacentral:rRNA from 1 species